rnacentral:misc_RNA from 1 species
GAUGAAGAACGUAGCGAAAUGCGAUAAGUAAUGUGAAUUGCAGAAUUCAGUGAAUCAUCGAAUCUUUGAACGCACAUUGCGCCCGCUGGUAUUCCGGCGGGCAUGCCUGUUCGAGCGUCAUUUCAACCCUCAAGCUCUCCGGAGUUUGGUGUUGGGGCGCCUGGGGCUUUUCGACCUCAGGGCCCUCAAGUCCAUCGGCGGGACCGCCAGGACACUGAGCGCAGUAGUAUUAUUUCGCUCGGUAGGAUCUUCCACGGCGGGUCGAUCUGGCCGCUAAACCCCCCAAUUCUCACCAAAGGUUGACUUCGGAUCAGGUAGGAAUACCCGCUGAACUUAAGCAUAUCAAUAAGCGGAGGA